rnacentral:rRNA from 1 species
AUUGAACGCUGGCGGCAGGCCUAACACAUGCAAGUCGAGCGGAUGAAGAGAGCUUGCUCUCUGAUUUAGCGGCGGACGGGUGAGUAAUGCCUAGGAAUCUGCCUGGUAGUGGGGGAUAACGUUCCGAAAGGAACGCUAAUACCGCAUACGUCCUACGGGAGAAAGCAGGGGACCUUCGGGCCUUGCGCUAUCAGAUGAGCCUAGGUCGGAUUAGCUAGUUAGUGAGGUAAUGGCUCACCAAGGCGACGAUCCGUAACUGGUCUGAGAGGAUGAUCAGUCACACUGGAACUGAGACACGGUCCAGACUCCUACGGGAGGCAGCAGUGGGGAAUAUUGGACAAUGGGCGAAAGCCUGAUCCAGCCAUGCCGCGUGUGUGAAGAAGGUCUUCGGAUUGCAAAGCACUUUAAGUUGGGAGGAAGGGCAGUAAGUUAAUACCUUGCUGUUUUGACGUUACCGACAGAAUAAGCACCGGCUAACUUCGUGCCAGCCGCCGCGGUAAGAC